UUCGUAUCGUCUCUUGUCGAAAUAAACUUUUUCUAAACACAUCUUUCGCCUUUUACUAAAGAUUACCGUGGGGAGGGACACUCCAAUGAGCCUAUAGGCCAAUUUCUGAGAGGCCUUGCCCGUUUGGGCAGGGC